rnacentral:lncRNA from 12 species
AUUUCUUUUUACCUGUCAAACAGGUAGCCCGGGUGGCUCAGUGGUUUAGUGCCUGCCUUAGGCCCAGGCUGUGACCCUGGAGACCUGGGAUCGAGUCCCAUGUCAGGCUCCCUACAUGGAGCCUGCGUCUCCCUCUGCCUGUGUCUCUGCCUCUCUCUGUGUUUCUCAUGGGUAAAUAAUUAAAAAAUAAAAAUCAUUUACCUGCUAAAUGAUUUUAUGUGAAAUAAUCAUCCAUGCAAUUGUUCAAAUAAUAAAUAAUCUAUAAAUGCAUAAGGAACUUCCCUGUAGGAAGCUAGAGAUAGGGCAAUCACUCAUCCCAAUAUUUUUGUUCUUCAAUGAAUUUUGUCAGCAUCUGUUUUAAAGGCUGAUUUCAUCUCUCCACGAGGCUGUCUCUGAUAAAGGGGUACUUAGCAAAAGGAAAUCCUCACAGUCUGCCUGUUUCUUCAUUAAAAAUAUGCUCUUUCUUUUCAUAUUUGGUUGCAGGCAAACAGUCAGAAACUUCCAUAUGAUCAGAAGCAAAAUGAUUCUGCUCUCGUGAAGAAUGCUCCCACCCCACCAAGAUAUGAUUUCUAAUUCAGCAGUCAGUACCGAUUUGGGCUUCGUGGAAAAUACUGCUGUUUAUUCUCUAAUGAAGAAGAGAAAGAUGGGAGGCACACCACAGCAUCCACGACAAGAUGGAUAUAUCAAACAUAGAAGAAUGUAACAAGGUUGACACUCAAUAUGUGGAAAAAGAUUUAUCAGACAAAUACUAUUGUGGUUGUGUUUACAUCAGACAAAAUAGAUCUGAGAGCAAAAAGUACUAGAAAUACAGAGGAUUACCACAUAAAAAUAUAACUUUAAAUACUCUAGGAAGAUAUGAAAAUUUUUAGUUUAAUAUUCCUAAUAAUAGAAUCUCUCUCUCUCUCUCCUCUCUCUCUCUCCAUAUAUAUAUAUAUAUAGUUAUAUAGUUAUAUAGUUAUAUAAUUUUAUAUAUAUAUAUUAUAUAUAUAUAAUUACUUGAUAUAAAAGAAUUACUUGAGAGUAUACCAAUCCAAAAUCAUAAUGGGAGAUUUUAAUUUUACUUUCUCAGUAACUGAUAUACUGGAAAUGACUAAUAAAAUCAUUGAAAAUUUGAGACUGCA